UGGGGAAUUUUCCGCAAUGGGCGAAAGCCUGACGGAGCAAUACCGCGUGAGGGAGGAAGGUUCUUGGGUUGUAAACCUCUUUUCUCAAGGAAUAAGAAUGAAGGUACUUGAGGAAUAAGCAUCGGCUAACUCCGUGCCAGCAGCCGCGGUAAUACGGAGGAUGCAAGCGUUAUCCGGAAUGAUUGGGCGUAAAGCGUCCGUAGGUGGUUUUGUGUGUCUGCUGUUAAAGCGUGCGGCUUAACCGCAUAAGGGCGGUGGAAACUACAAGACUAGAGUACGUUCGGGGCAGGGGGAAUUCCCAGUGUAGCGGUGAAAUGCGUAAAGAUUGGGAAGAACACCGGUGGCGAAAGCGCCCUGCUAGGCCGUAACUGACACUGAGGGACGAAAGCUAGGGGAGCGAAAGGGAUUAAAUACCCCAGUAGUC
rnacentral:rRNA from 1 species